rnacentral:misc_RNA from 1 species
AAGUCGUAACAAGGUUUCCGUAAGUUUUAUCGCCUCAAUCUGCAGACCAAUGCUAACAACCCUCUAGGUAGGUGAACCUGCGGAAGGAUCAUUAAAAGUUGUACCCUUUGGGGCACUUCCACCCUUGCAAAUAUACAUCUGCUUGGUCUUCGGGCCAAAAUUUUACUCUUGAACUUUCUUCUGAAUGAGACAAAAUAAAAAAAA